UCCCCGUUCACCGGGGCAGUCCCCUCAGAGUGCCCGGCAUGACCCGGUAGCAACAGAGGGCGAGGGUUGCGCUCGUUGCGGGACUUAACCCAACAUCUCACGACACGAGCUGACGACAGCCAUGCAGCACCUAACUGCAGGUUCUCCGAAGAGCACUCCGAUCUUUCAACCAGAUUCCUGCACUUUCUAGCCCAGGUAAGGUUCUGCGCGUUGCGUCGAAUUGAACCACAUGCUCCACCGCUUGUGCGGGCCCCCAUCAAUUCCUUUGAGUUUUAGCCUUGCGGCCGUACUCCCCAGACGGGGUGCUUAAUGCGUUAGCUACGGCACCGCAGGGGUCAAAGCCCGCGACACCUAGCACCCAUCGUUUACGGCGUGGACUAC
rnacentral:misc_RNA from 1 species